AGGAAUAUUGGUCAAUGGCCGGAAGGCUGAACCAGCCAUGCCGCGUGAAGGUCAGUGCCCUAUGGGCGUUAAACUUCUUUUGUGCGGGAGCAAUAAGGUCCACGUGUGGGCCGACGAGAGUACCGUACGAAUAAGCAUCGGCUAACUCCGUGCCAGCAGCCGCGGUAAUACGGGGGAUGCAAGCGUUAUCCGGAUUUAUUGGGUUUAAAGGGUGCGUAGGCGGGCUGUUAAGUCAGCGGUCAAAUGUCGGGGCUCAACCCCGGCCUGCCGUUGAAACUGGCGGCCUCGAGUGGGCGAGAAGUAUGCGGAAUGCGUGGUGUAGCGGUGAAAUGCAUAGAUAUCACGCAGAACUCCGAUUGCGAAGGCAGCAUACCGGCGCCCUACUGACGCUGAGGCACGAAAGCGUGGGUAUCGAACAG
rnacentral:rRNA from 1 species